rnacentral:ncRNA from 1 species
AUCUUCAGGGAUGGGUGCAAUUCCCUACCGGCGGUAAAGCCCGCGAGCGCCUGCGUAUGCAGGAGGCAGAUCCGGUGAGAUUCCGGGGCCGACAGUACAGUCUGGAUGGAAGAAGAG